CAGCCGCCACGGGAAUACAGAGGGUGCGAGCGUUAAUCGGAUUUACUGGGCGUAAAGCGUGCGUAGGCGGCUUCUUAAGUCGGAUGUGAAAUCCCUGAGCUUAACUUAGGAAUUGCAUUCGAUACUGGGAAGCUAGAGUAUGGGAGAGGAUGGUAGAAUUCCAGGUGUAGCGGUGAAAUGCGUAGUGAUCUGGAGGAAUACCGAUGGCGAAGGCAGCCAUCUGGCCUAAUACUGACGCUGAGGUACGAAAGCAUGGGGAGCAAACAGGAUUAGAUACCCCGGUAGUCCCUGUCUCUUAUAC
rnacentral:rRNA from 1 species